rnacentral:pre_miRNA from 1 species
GCUAUACUCCCUCCGUCCGAAAAUACUUGUCCUAAAGAUGAAUGACUUAUUUUAGUUAUAGAUACAUUCAUUAUAUCCAUUUCUAUGACAAGUAUUUUCGGAUGGAGGGAGUAUAUA